GACGAACGCUGGCGGCGCGCCUAACACAUGCAAGUCGAACGAGCGAGAGAGAGCUUGCUUUCUCGAGCGGGUGGCGAACGGGUGAGUAACGCGUGAGGAACCUGCCUCAAAGAGGGGGACAACAGUUGGAAACGACUGCUAAUACCGCAUAAGCCCACGGCUCGGCAUCGAGCAGGGGGAAAAGGAGCAAUCCGCUUUGAGAUGGCCUCGCGUCCGAUUAGCUAGUUGGUGGGGUAACGGCCCACCAAGGCGACGAUCGGUAGCCGGACUGAGAGGUUGAACGGCCACAUUGGGACUGAGACACGGCCCAGACUCCUACGGGAGGGAGCAGUGGGGAAUAUUGCACAAGGGGGGAAAACCUGACGCAGCGACGCCGCGUGGAGGAAGAAGGUCUUCGGAUUGUAAACUCCUGUUGUUGGGGAAGAUAAUGACGGUACCCAACAAGGAAGUGACGGCUAACUACGUG
rnacentral:rRNA from 1 species